rnacentral:rRNA from 1 species
UAGUCCACGCCGUAAACGAUGGUCACUAGCUGUUCGGACUUCGGUCUGAGUGGCUAAGCGAAAGUGAUAAGUGACCCACCUGGGGAGUACGUUCGCAAGAAUGAAACUCAAAGGAAUUGACGGGGGCCCGCACAAGCGGUGGAGCAUGUGGUUUAAUUCGAUGAUACGCGAGGAACCUUACCAAGGCUUAAAUGUAGAUUGACAGGACCAGAGAUGGUUUUUCCUUCGGGCAAUUUACAAGGUGCUGCAUGGUUGUCGUCAGCUCGUGCCGUGAGGUGUCAGGUUAAGUCCUAUAACGAGCGCAACCCCUGUUGUUAGUUACCAGCGAGUUAAGUCGGGGACUCUAACAAGACUGCCGGUGCAAACCGUGAGGAAGGUGGGGAUGACGUCAAAUCAUCACGGCCCUUACGUCUUGGGCUACACACGUGCUACAAUGGUAGGUACAAUGAGCAGCCACAACGCGAGUUGGAGCGAAUCUUAAAAACCUAUCACAGUUCGGAUCGGAGUCUGCAACUCGA